rnacentral:rRNA from 1 species
CUUCUUGAGAUAAUAAGAAGUCGUGCCUGCCCACUGAAAAAUAAUUGAAGGGCCGCGGUAUUCUGACCGUGCAAAGGUAGCAUAAUCAUUAGUUUCUUAAUUAGGGACUGGAAUGAAUGGUUUGACGAGAUAGUUUCUGUCUUUUAUAUAAAAGUUGAAUUUUACUUUUGAGUUAAAAGGCUUAAGUUAAAAUUAGGGACGAGAAGACCCUAUAGAUCUUUAUCAUUUUAAUGAUAGAAUGAGUGUUUAGACGUUGAAUAUUUUUAUAUUAAAUGAUUUUGUUGGGGUGACAUGAGAAGAAAAAAACUUCUUAUUAUUUAUACUUUGAUUGAUGGAUAGGUGAUCCUAUUAUUUGGAUAUAAGAUUAAGAUACCUUAGGGAUAACAGCGUUAUCUUAUUUGAGAGUUCAUAUCGACAAUAAGGAUUGCGACCUCGAUGUUGGAUUAAGAUAAUAUUUUGGUGUAGUAGUUAAAAGUAUUGGUCUGUUC